GCCACCGACAUAUGAGUUGUCUACUCAAAAUAGUCACGGAUAUUGGACCUCUGCUUUGCUGGCUUCAAGCUCUCAAUUGUUCGUCUUUUAUGUCUAUUGUAUGCUAAGACAAUAUAUAGAGAGAGACUCUCCUAGUUGGCCAUUUUCACUUCUCCAUGGUAUGUUCCUUCUACAAUCACAUCAUCAGCACUCCUCUACCCAAAAGGAACCCGGCCACCACAACCCAAUUUGAGUUUCCUUUUUCUCUCUCGAUGGUUUUGAUUCCCACUUGAAGUUCCUGUUCUUGAUCUGCAAAAGAAAGCUGCUUUGCGGAAGUGGUCAAAUUGAAGUGUUCACCUAUUGUUCUAAGAAGUAGAGGAGAAGAGACUUCACAAUUGGGUUUUUGUUUCACAGUUAUUGCUUUCAGUUGUCUUAUUGUUUUAUACUAGAUUAUUUUUGCAAAAAAGUUGAGGGACAUAGAUGCCCCCUGCAUCAACUGUAUCCAACUCGCAGGUCCCGCCAAUGGACAUGCAGGGGGCCGAUUCUGGCUCCAAAGAGUUCAUACGACCACUUGGUCGGGAUCCUACUCAGCCCGAGAUUUUUCGUCGUACCCAUCAGAAAAGGGUACUGGAGAAUUUAUUGAUGCACGGUCGGCUAAAAUAUAUGCUGACUAUGAGAAGAUGAAAGAAGCCAAGCAAAUCUUUGCUCGGGUUGGAAUGCAACCGCCAUGUAAUGACGUUGACGAUGAGGAGCACGAUUCUGACGGGGUUUAGAUUAUAGAUUGCAGAAUUGUUGUAAUAUUUUUUCACAAUUUGACUUCAACAUAAUUUUUAUAUAAAUAUUUUUAUUA